rnacentral:SRP_RNA from 1 species
CAGCACCGCAGGCUGCGGCGCGCCCUGGCGGACGGGGAGGCCGCGGAGGUGGGCGCCUCUGCGGCGCCCGCGGCCAAUCCCAUCCUCUACAACCUCACGCCGCUGCGCUUCGUGCUGCACGUGCUGCGGGGGAUCAAGACUCCGGAGCUUGAGCAGGCGCUGCUCGUGCUUCCAUUCCACUACGUGCAGCGGCUCAUGUCCUACCUGACGCGCCUGCUGG